UACAGAGGUCUCAAGCGUUGUUCGGAUUCAUUGGGCGUAAAGGGUGCGUAGGCGGCGCGGUAAGUCGGAUGUGAAAUCUCGGGGCUUAACUCCGAAACUGCAUUCGAUACUGCCGUGCUUGAGGACUGGAGAGGAGACUGGAAUUUACGGUGUAGCAGUGAAAUGCGUAGAGAUCGUAAGGAAGACCAGUGGCGAAGGCGGGUCUCUGGACAGUUCCUGACGCUGAGGCACGAAGGCCAGGGGGAGCAAACGGG
rnacentral:rRNA from 1 species